CCAACAGGGAUUGCCUCAGUAACGGCGAGUGAAGCGGCAAGAGCUCAAAAAUGAAAUCCGGCCCCCCUGGGGGCCUGAGUUGUAAUUUGCAGAGGAUGCUUCGGGCGCGACCGCGGUCCAAGUCCCCUGGAACGGGGCGUCGUAGAGGGUGAGAAUCCCGUCUCCGGCCGGCCGGUCUCGCCCGUGUGAAGCUCCUUCGACGAGUCGAGUUGUUUGGGAAUGCAGCUCCAAAUGGGUGGUAAAUUUCAUCUAAAGCUAAAUACUGGUCGGAGACCGAUAGCGCACAAGUAGAGUGAUCGAAAGAUGAAAAGCACUUUGAAAAGAGAGUUAAACAGCAUGUGAAAUUGUUGAAAGGGAAGCGCUUGCGACCAGAGUCGGCCGCGGGGGUUCAGCGGGCAUUCGUUGCCCGUGCAAUCCCCCGCGGCCGGGCCAGCGUCGGUUUCGACGGCCGGUCAAAGGCCCCCGGAAUGUGUCGCCUCUCGGGGCGUCUUAUAGCCGGGGGUGCAAUGCGG
rnacentral:rRNA from 1 species